GGAUCUUGAGAUAUACCUGUUAGUGUUUUCACUUUCAGUAUUGCUCUCUGAAACAAUGAAGAAAGCUAUUCUAAUUGCUUUUCUCAUCAUUUUUGCUUAAUUUCUCUUCCUUCCUCCUUCCACUCAUGCUCGUGGAUUAUAUGAAGUUUCAAAGACAGUCACCUCGCCAACAAAUGAUAAGAACAAUCCUGCAGUUAAAUGUCCUCCUGGUUCUUCUUAUCAAUCUUGCCUUGCAAAUCCUCCAAAAGUUACAAAAGAGCGUUGCCCUAUCUAUACCCGUGGUUGUAAUAAGUAGCAGCAAAAAGAAAUACAUGACUAAUGGUUUCAUGGGGAAGUCAAGGUGUAUGUUGCUCAUGAAUUCUAUGAACUGUGAGAUCAGGUUGUUAAAUUUACAUGCCUGUGUUAAUUGUACUUGAGAUGAAGAAGAUUGUAUCUGCUGGCUUAUAAUUUAUUAUGAGUCAGUUUAAUUAAUAAAUAAAG